rnacentral:rRNA from 1 species
CCAAGGAGUCUAACAUGUGCGCAAGUCAUGAGGUUCUUGUAAAAAAGAGACCCGAUGGCGAAAUGAAAGUAAAGGUGUCAUUUGAUGACAUUAAGGCGAGACCAAACGAAAGAAAUUGAGUUUGUGCAUCGCUGGCCCGUCUCAACCGCUAACGUCGGUAAGGCGGAGCUUGAGCGCACACGUUGGGACCCGAAAGAUGGUGAACUAUGCCUGUACAGGACGAAGCCAGAGGAAACUCUGGUGGAGGUCCGUAGCGAUUCUGACGUGCAAAUCGAUCGUCUGAUAUAGGUAUAGGGGCGAAAGACUAAUCGAACCAUCUA